rnacentral:rRNA from 1 species
UGCGUAGGCGGGCAGGUAAGUCAGUGGUGAAAUCCUGGAGCUUAACUCCAGAACUGCCAUUGAUACUAUCUGUCUUGAAUAUUGUGGAGGUAAGCGGAAUAUGUCAUGUAGCGGUGAAAUGCGUAGAGAUCUGGAGGAAUACCGAUUGCGAAGGCAGCCCCCUGGACAGUGACUGACGCUCAAAUGCGAAAGCGUGGGGAUCAAACAGGAUUAGAUACCCCAGUA